GAAGUUCUAUCUAAGCAUGUUAGCUCCUGGGUACUUCUUGAGCCGUAAUCUUAUACCCCGGAGAUGCUUGUCUGAUGAUGUGUGCAGGCCUGCCCCUUUUCAUUAGAGAAGGAGAGCAGAAAGCCUAAUUUAUCAUUCAUUUCUCCACUUGAACCGAUAGGUUCGAGAGCGAAAGAGAGCGACGGCUUAGAUGGUUCUUCA
rnacentral:other from 1 species